rnacentral:lncRNA from 10 species
AUGAGAUCCUACAGUGAUAAAGCAUUUCCUGAGAUGCUGCUUUGGAGUUCAUAGAAGCAGAAAGGAACAACUGACCCUCUUAAGGACAAGACCCAGAGCUGGAGCCUCACAGCAGUCCACAUUUUUUCCCUCACUCCCUGGAGUUAUGCAUCGAAUGCCUACCAUGAGCAUGUGCCACCGGCCUUGGACCUUUGCCUGGCUGGCUUGGAGUUUUAACUAAAUCAUGUCUAUUUUCUGCAUCACACUUAGCAUGUGCAUGAAGCACAUCUUCCCAGAAUGAAAAAAGUCAGGCUGCUUCUGGCUGCUAAAUGGAUACCUGCCUCCAAGCGUGUUUCUGAUUUAUGGCAUCAUUUCUCCAGAGUCCUCGGACACCUGUGGAGACCCCUAUCCAGCACAGUGAAGCCAACAGCAUGGUGAAGUCUCUGUCCUCCUGGAGCUCAUGUUCUGAUGGGGGAGGUGGACGAUAACAAACAGGUACACGUGUAACAUCAGGCUGGCGAUGGAAAGUGCUAGGAGAAGUGAUGCAGAGGAAGGGCAGAGCAGGUGUGGCUCGCUUGGUUGGGAGUCAGGAAAGGCCUGUUCAAGGUGAGGGUGUUUGUGUAGUAACCAGAAUGAAGUGAGCAAUGAGCCAUGGGAUGAUCCGGGAGAAAGUGUUCCAGGUGGAGGGAACAGCAAGUGCCAAGGCUCUGGGACAGGUGCACACUGGGGCGCUUCAAGAACAGCAAGGAGGCCAGAGUGGCAGGGACAAGGCCAGAGUGGCAGGGACAAGGUCAGAGGCCAGCUAACCAUUUCGUUAACACCUCACAGUUACCCUUAGAGGUAGGUGCCCCCAUUUUACAGACAGGGAAACAGGCUCGGAGAGGUCAGCUGGCCCUAGCCACACAAAGCAGAUCCAGAAUCCAACCCUUGUCUGCUGGGCUCUGAGGCCUGUGCUUUUUGCCCCCUGCCAUGUGGCCUCGCUCAAAUACUUUGUGCCUUUCUAGCAUCACUGACCACAUUCUUCAUUGGUUUGGGUCCUUUGGGGCUUUGCAGGCUGGGACCCUGAGCUGCUGAGCUUUGCAUCCCCUCUGGGUCAUGGCGAAAGACAAUCUUGGCACAUGUACGAUGAAGAAACCAAAGCUCACAGAAAGUAAAGAACAGACCCGGGGCCAUUGACUCACGGCUGCGUAGAAUUUUGGAGCCAGGAGACCCCUUGACGAUUUAGCUAACUUUUCACCUUUCAGAUGAAAAAAUGGAAGCUCACAGAGAAGACAGUGGCCAAGGGCCACAUGGCACGUGGCAGGUGGGCAGUGGCUGGGAUCCAGGUCUCUAGAUUCCUCACCCUCCCCUGCCUUUUGUUAGUGGGCUAGAAGCCACAUUGGUGCCAGAUGACAAGCUGAUAAAGUUCCAAGCUGGACAGGGAAGGAUGGGGAAGAAGAGUUUAUUUGCAGUAGGCUCAGCAGCCUUUGUUCUUUCAUCUUAGAAGCUCAGUGAGUGUGGGACAGCGACAGUAACACGGACCAGAGUCGCAGCCCCAGCCUUGAGAUCCUGGUGGAAAGGGCAUGCUGAUGGUGUUUGAAGUCAACCAGAGGUGUCAUUUUAGACCCUGCUCCCCUGCUCACACCAGAGAAAUCCAGGGAAAGCCCAAGGCCAGGGAAGAGAGGCAGAGAAGUGCAUCAAGGAAAACACGGGCUCUGAAAUCACAGAGACCUGCUUUUGACUCUUAGUCCCACUACUGAGACCUGCGUUUGACUCUUAGUCCCACUACCUAAUUGCCGGGUGACCUCAGGCACGUUAAAUUGCCCCUCUGAGCUUUAGUUUCCUCUGUUCAAAUGAAGCAGGGGCUGAUCUCUCAGGUUACUUUUAGCUCUAAAAUUCUAUGAGCUGAGGGCCAUGUGCAAAUGUCUUUACCUCACUGCAUCUCAUUUUAAUCUCCUGCAAAAUAGAUGAAAAAAAAUAGAUGUGGCUGUUCAUAGCUCACAUCAAGUCAGAAGAGGCUGAUUUCUCUAAAGACAGCACAAAGAAUCCACAAAUUGCUGCCUAUCUAAAAUUGGGCAGUGUGUAUCUUGUCCUUCCUCUCCAACCCUUCCCUGACAGAUAGGCACUGUAGGGCAGCAUCUCUAGCUAAGGAGAUCCGAAAUCAGCACAAAGAUGGGCAAGCUCAGGCUUGAUUGCUCACAGGUGAUAUUUUGAAGCUAGGCAAGCUUCUGGAGGAAGAAAAAAAAUCAACAUUGUGUCCCCAUGCGGGAUGGGCUGCAAUUAUGCCUGUUCUGGGUGGCAGCGUGAUGCAGCAGCGUUCUUACCAAUGGCUGGUGAUCCAGGAGAUGCUACCAAGUGUCCACAAGAGUUUGGCGAAGGCUGCAAACUUCAGCCCCUCCUGCAAAGCCAUGGAGCACACUAGUAUUUUAAAGACGCUAUGACGUCCUGCAGCAAAAACAUGUUAUACUUUGUUGAUCCGAGUGUUACCCAAAGCAAUCUUUUUUCUUUUUCAUUUUUCAUUUUUAAGGAACACUAGCUCUGUGUGGAAAAAACCAAGGAGGACCAAAUCGGAAGAUGUGGAUUCAAAUCCUAUUCUACUACUUCUUAGCCAUGAGGCUGUGGGAAAGUCACUCAAUGUCUCUGCUUACAGUAUAUAUAUAUAUGUAUAUACACACACACAAAAUAUAUAUAUACACAAAAUAUAUAUAUAAACAAAAAUAUAUAAACAAAAAAUAUAUAUAUAAAAACAAAAUAUAUAUAUAUUUAGAUGCAGUCUCACUCUGUUGCCCAGGCUGGAGUGCAAUGGCGUGAUCUUGGCUCACUGCAACCUCUGCCUCUCAGGUUCAAGCGACUCUCCUGCAUCAACUGCCCGAGUAGCUGGGAUUACAGGCAUGCA